CCUACGGGUGGCAGCAGUGAGGAAUAUUGGUCAAUGGCCGGAAGGCUGAACCAGCCAAGCCGCGUGAAGGACGAAGGUGCCAAGCGUUGUAAACUUCUUUUGUCAAGGAACAAAAUCAGGCUCGAGAGCCUGACCUAGUAUACUUGAAGAAAAAACAUCGGCUAACUCCGUGCCAGCAGCCGCGGUAAUACGGAGGAGGCGAGCGUUAUCCGGAUUUCUUGGGUUUAAAGGGGGCGUAGACGGGCUGUUAAGUCAGCGGUAAAAGCCCGGGGCUCAACCCCGGCGAGCCGUUGAAACUGGCUGUCUUGAGUUGUCGAGAGGUAUGCGGAAUGCGCAGUGUAGCGGUGAAAUGCUUAGAUAUCGCGAAGAACUCCGAUCGCGAAGGCAGCAUACCGGCGGCGAACUGACGCUGAGGCACGAAAGCGUGGGUAUCGAACAGGAUUAGAUACCCUAGUAGUC
rnacentral:rRNA from 1 species